rnacentral:lncRNA from 10 species
GUAUUUUCUCUCUUUCUCUCCCUUUCUCAUAUCAGGUAAAAAGAACUGAGUUAAUCAUGUGCUUCAAAUGGUGGAACAAAAUCAUCACUGGGGACACGUCACCUAUCCCCAGGUCACAUCCUGUCAUGAUCAAGACAUUAAUGGAUAUGACAAAGAUCCCAGAUGAAAAGCAACUUCUGAACCACACCACUGGCAUCCUGAUUAAAGCAAACAUAAGCAAGCCGAACCCAGCAAGACAUCUGGAACCAUCCCUAAGAGUGACCAUCCACUAGACAGGACCCAACCCUGCCAUGAGUGGAAUCAACUUCCUGUCUCAUGAGACUGCAGAUUUCAAAUCCUGUGCCUCUCCAUGGCUUCCUGAGCUCCUAACCACACUCUGACAGGCAUGGCAUCUAUGCAAAAAGGGAAAUGAGUGAGGCCAGUUGAAGAAUUAUAUAAUCCUCCAUUUUAAAAAUAGGACUGGGUAUUUUUGGAAAGAACUAGCUGGGUGAGUUAUUUAACAGCCUUUCUGGCUAGCCUGUGGAAACUCAGAAAAUGGCAUUCUCUCAGGGUCUCUAGAAAGAUGUGUUACCUGGUACAGCCAAAGAAGACUGAAGAUGCCCAGGCUGGGCUGAACCUGGGACAAUGCAGAGAUAACCUGGUCCUUUGUAAGCUGUGGACUGGCCCUGUAAUGCACGCUGGGAAGAGAGGAGUUUGGAAGCCACUCCCCAGGAUGGAUCUCUGUAGGCAAAUCCUUUCAACAGCUACUGUGAAGCCCUCUGAGCGAUGCGAUUGAUUAAGGUUGACAAAAGCCUGGCAAUGGCUUCCACUCCCCACUUCUUGUUCCCAUGUUAGACAUUAUUAAUCAAUUACAACUCUUUCUCUACAAGCCCCAGAACCAAUCCUUUACACAAAUCUCCCAGAAGCCACCAACAAUCAGUGGGAGUUGGCACGAGGUGAGACUUCUCCAGUCUGUCUGCAGUAGCUAGUAAGUGGUGCACUGGCUUCAGUUUGGACCACUGCUACAUCGUGGAGUUGACCUGUUGAAAUUGAUGAGCUAUUCUGACAUCAGUAAUGCUCCCUGCAGCUUAGAGUUCAGGACUUCCGUUGUGAUACAAAUACAGCUGCUUGGAGAAUGAAAAUAUUCAUAUAUUUUUGGAGCUAAUUCUAAGUACUUUCAAGUCUGUGCCAAAAUUAAAACUGUUCAGAAAUACUCUGAUUCUCUUCUCCUUUGGGCCCAUGAUAAGUUUGCACUUCUCCUGCCCCUUUUCAAGUGAGACUAUGGCCAUGUGACUUGGUUUGGCCGAUGAUACAUGAGUAGAAGUGACAUAUGUCACACAAGUGAAGUCUUAAGAGCCAGUGUAUGAUCCACCAUGCUCCCUCUCCUCUGCCCUGGUGAUGGUAGAAGCAUAUAUGGAGGUGCAGCUUCCCCAGCAAGGGGUCUUGCAUGACUGUGAGAGACAGUAUCUCCUUGCUAACACACAUUGGACAUGAACAUGAGUGAGAAAUACAUAUUUUUUUGUAGUAAGCUGCUGAAAUUUGGGGAUUGUUUGUUCCUGCAGCAUUGCUUUACUUAUCCUGACUUUUACAAACACUUUCAGCUAGUCAUUCCAUCGGAUCCUCUCAACAACCACGUAAAAUAGGAAAAAUGCUAUUAUCUACAUCAUACAAAUAAGAUGACGAAUGCCCAGAGAGGUUAAAUAAUUAAGAAACACUGAAACCUUUUACAUUAACUGACCAACACCUAUUGCCAAAAUGGAAAUGUAUAUGCUCUGAUCAUAUAAUUUUUACAAGAAGUGGUGCAUUUAAGCAAGUCAUAGAUCUCACUGAAAAAUUAAAUAUUGUCUGAAAAUUGACCCAGAAGCACCAAACACAAUCAUCCAAGAAUAAAG